rnacentral:tRNA from 1 species
CAGGGAGACAACAAAAUGUUUAAUAUUAUUAUUUUGUCACCUUAGGUCGAUCGGUAUCUCACGUUCUUAAUUUAUUAAGAAUUUCAUUUCCUAAGUUUUUCUAGGUCACACCCAUUAUUUUUCCUGGGCCAUUAGCUCAGGUGGUUAGAGCGCACCCCUGAUAAGGGUGAGGUCCCUGGUUCAAGUCCAGGAUGGCCCAUAUCUCUAUGUUGGGGGUAUAGCUCAGUUGGUAGAGCGCCUGCUUUGCAAGCAGGAUGUCAGCGGUUCGAGUCCGCUUACCUCCACUGAUUGCCACCUCUUCCAUAAUCGGUAGAAAGGAAAUGUUCUGAGUUGUGACUAAGUUCUGAACGAAUCUAGCUUCCUAAUAAAACUAUUAAGAUGCUGGACUCAUUGAAUUAAUUUCAUUGUUUUCAGAGAACCUUGACAACUGCAUAGAUUAUUUUUAAAGACAAUAAGCAUCUUUAAUGAUGCAGAUUUAUUAUUUGUGCGAAUGCAUUAAUAACAAUUCUAUUAAGCUGAUGCUUCAAUUUUGAAGUUAUU